AGCAGCCGCGGUAAUUCCAGCUCCAAUAGCGUAUAUUAAAGUUGUUGCAGUUAAAAAGCUCGUAGUUGAAUUUCGGGAUCAGUACGCUGGUCGUGCCUUUGGUAUGUACUGGUGUCACUGAUUCCUCCCUUCUGAAGAACCGUUAUGCCAUUUAUUUGGUGUGGCGGGGAAUCAGGACUGUUACUUUGAAAAAUUAGAGUGUUUAAAGCAGGCUCACGCUUGAAUACAUUAGCAUGGAAUAACGAAAUAGGACGUCUGAUUCUAUUUUGUUGGUUUCUAGGAUCGACGUAAUGAUUAAUAGGGAUAGUUGGGGGCAUUAGUAUUCAAUUGUCAGAGGUGAAAUUCUUGGAUUUAUUGAAGACUAACUACUGCGAAAGCAUUUGCCAAGGAUGUUUUCAUUAAUCAAGACGAAAGUUAGGGGAUCGAAGACGAUCAGAUACCGUCGUAGUC
rnacentral:rRNA from 1 species